UACGAAGGGGGCUAGCGUUGCUCGGAAUUACCGGGCGUAAAGCGCACGUAGGCGGCUUUCUAAGUCGGGGGUGAAAUCCUGGAGCUCAACUCCAGAACUGCCUUCGAUACUGGAAAGCUCGAGUCCGGGAGAGGUGAGUGGAACUGCGAGUGUAGAGGUGAAAUUCGUAGAUAUUCGCAAGAACACCAGUGGCGAAGGCGGCUCACUGGCCCGGUACUGACGCUGAGGUGCGAAAGCGUGGGGAGCAAACAGG
rnacentral:rRNA from 1 species